CGUCGCUUUCAUGUUCACACUUUGUAUCUGUGUCAUGAAUACCUAUCUGGAACUCACCCUGUUAGUCGAAAUAUUUUGUCGGUUCGGAGUAAUCCCUCCGAAACCAAAAAACCUUGUUAUCGUUCCAACACCGUAACCAUAAUAGGUAGAAAAAAAACAAAGGGUGAAAUUUGUUCAGGACCAGACCUCGGUUCUUCGUUACAUUUUGAUCGAAAAGAUUCAACGACUCAUUGGUAGGGUUAUGCCCCUAUGAAAAUUAACCGGUGUCGGUGGAACACCAAAACUCAGAAACCGUAAGUCGUAGAGACCUAGGACCUUCACCAAUCAUCAUCAAUUCAUGUAUCUUUGAAAAAAACCUCAAGGUCAAAUUUGUAUGUUGACCUUGACCUUUGACCUAACACCUUGUUAUGGGAUAAUCUCAGAAACCA
rnacentral:lncRNA from 1 species